rnacentral:sRNA from 1 species
UACCGUUUCCUUCUUGUCCGCUGAAAUGUU